ACCAUGAUGGACAUAAUGCAAUCUGGAGAUGCAAAAUUUCAGUUUGACCGUCAUCACAUAAAAGCUAUCCUUUUUGACAUGCUUAUAGCUGCAAUGGACACUACAGCAUCAUCAACAGAAUGGAUACUCACCGAACUUCUUAGGCACCCCCAAGUGAUGAAGGAACUCCAAAAGGAGUUGCAAGAAGUGGUAGGCCUCGAUAGAAUGGUGGAAGAAUCUGACCUGGAGAAUUUAAAGUACUUAGACAUGGUUGUAAAAGAGGGCCUGAGGCUGCAUCCUGUAGCGCCACUAUUUUAUCACGAGUCCAUAGAAGAUUGUGUAGUCGAUGGUUUCCACAUACAAAAGGGAACCAGAAUCAUAAUAAAUUGUUACGCGAUUCAUAUGGAUCCAAAUGUUUGGCCUGAUCCUGAGAAGUUUUUGCCUGAGAGAUUUGUUGGGAGCAGUGUAGAUUUUCGUGGACGGGACUUCCAACUUGUACCAUUUGGCUCUGGGAGAAGAAGCUGCCCUGGAAUGCAGUUGGCAGUUAUGGUCGUCCGCCUUGUGGUGGCACAAUUGGUUCAUUGCUUUGAGUGGGAGCUUCCAAAUGGUAUUGAGUCUUGUGAUUUAGAUAUUGAUGAGAAGUUUGGGAUAGUAACAUGUAGAGAAAAACCUUUGCUGGCUAUUCCUACAUAUAGGCUAAACAAAUGAUGCAGAUACAAUGCAUAUAGUAAAAGAUCAACUAGUAUUUCUCAACUUUACAUUUUGUUACAAUCAACAUUGGAAGUUUGUAGUAUAUGAUUUUGUGAUUGUUGUGUGCUAAUCUACA
rnacentral:misc_RNA from 1 species